rnacentral:rRNA from 1 species
UACGUAGGUGGCAAGCGUUGUCCGGAUUUAUUGGGUUUAAAGGGUGCGUAGGCGGUCUUAUAAGUCAGUGGUGAAAUACGGCAGCUCAACUGUCGAGGUGCCAUUGAUACUGUAGGACUUGAGUACAGACGAGGUAGGCGGAAUUGACGGUGUAGCGGUGAAAUGCGUAGAUAUCGGGAGGAACACCUGUGGCGAAAGCGGCGCACUGGACCAUAACUGACGCUGAGGCGCGAAAGCUAGGGGAGCAAACAGG